rnacentral:rRNA from 1 species
GAUGAACGCUAGCGGGAGGCUUAACACAUGCAAGUCGAGGGGCAGCACGAGGUAGCAAUACUUUGGUGGCGACCGGCGCACGGGUGAGUAACGCGUAUGCAACCUACCCUGUACAGGGGGAUAACCCGGAGAAAUUCGGACUAAUACCCCAUAAAGAUAUUUAGAGGCAUCUUUGAAUAUUUAAAGUUCCGGCGGUACGGGAUGGGCAUGCGUAACAUUAGCUAGUUGGUAAGGUAACGGCUUAUCAAGGCAACGAUGUUUAGGGGUCCUGAGAGGGUGAUCCCCCACACUGGUACUGAGACACGGACCAGACUCCUACGGGAGGCAGCAGUGAGGAAUAUUGGUCAAUGGGCGCAAGCCUGAACCAGCCAUCCCGCGUGAAGGAAGAAUGCGCUAUGCGUUGUAAACUUCUUUUCCAGGGGAAUAAAAUUUUGUACGUGUACGGAAUUGAAGGUACCCUGGGAAUAAGCAUCGGCUAACUCCGUGCCAGCAGCCGCGGUAAGAC